rnacentral:lncRNA from 1 species
CCUGGGAGUGAAUUCGGCAGCAGGACCUUCUUUCACACAGCUGGUGAAGUCAAGGUGUUGUAAUUUAGUCUUCAGAAGCAACUUAAAGACCAAAGCUCCAGAGCACAACAAAACAAUUAUAGAAUUCCUCAGUUCUGAGGGCUUUGGCAAGAUGUCCAUUUUAAAACCAUGACACAGAUGAGAAGACGUGGUAAUGGUGACCCAACACACAGGGUCAGGGACGCGAGCGGUGUGAGACCAGGUUGCAGUCUGGGCCUCCCCUCCUAUCCUUACCCCUGAACUUGUAUCUUCAUAGCCUAACCGAGUUUUGAAAGAACUGGGUAUGUGUCCCCCCACAUAAUACAGAGGAAGAUAAAUCUCCUCCUUUCUGCUGAUGACACAGUUUUAUUAUCAUGAACUAAGCUUGACCUCGAAAAAUCUAACCACAACCAGGAAGUUGAAUUAUCCCAGACCUAAAGUUGUUGUCUUUGCAGACACUCUCCAAAACUCGAUGGAUCGUCACUCAAGAAGUUCAUGAGCAAGUCAGCGUGUCAAGCUCCGUUGUCCUGGUGAGUGCCUCGGCAUCUGUCGCUGCUCCAACACACAGAAGAGAAAGGAUCUCGAAGAUCUUCCUGGACCUCCAGGGACAACAUGUGGUAACACUUUCUCUGAAGACGUUUCAGGCCUUAAUUGUCUCUGCCAGACUCUAUAGAGCAUGGAAAUCUGAGCUCUGGUUAAAGAUCAGAUUUAAAGUUAGACCAGUUCCAAAGAUACUUCCUGAAGGAAAUCUUAGACGUUUUCUGUGAGGAUCUUCCUCAAGUUGAGGACAGCAGCCUCAUCCUCCUCAGCACUAAGAGGAGCGGAUCAGCUGCCACCGCAGCCUUGCGACUCCCAAGUGCAUGGGCUUGCUCUCCAUCAGCAUCUGGGACAGCAGCAGCUCUCAGGCCCUUCGUGGGAGCUCCCAACAGGUCCCAGCUAGAGGAGUUCAGGGCGGAGACAACAGUUCUCUCCAGCUGAACCCGGGGCACUUGGCCGACAGCAAUUCAGUCCAUCGAGGCCGUAAACCCAAACUCCAACAGCCUCGCCCCUAUUCUAUCCCACCAUCACCUCCACUGACGCCCACUGCUGGGACCGCACCGAGCAAUGGGGACAGUUACCAGCUCUCUAGAAGCCAAGCCAUCCUAGGUAAGUCCUCUCCUAAUGCCAGGUCGGAAUUCAGAGGCUUAACGCCCAUGCCAUUUGACAAUGGCUCUUCUUCCCCAGGAUGGAGCUGCAGCAUCCUUGGAGGCCCCAGGGACCCUCGACCCAACUAUAGAGAAAACGCCUUUCUCAGCAGACCUCAUCUUGAACUGCCUUCAUCAGCACCGAACACAGAGAUGCUUCGUGCGUGCUGUUUGUUUUCUCCCACACAGCAUACUUAUUGAAACCAGCAUUUAUUCUUCUGAUGGGAUCCUGAUAGACAGAAGGGAACUGGGGAGACGAUGAAACAAGUCUGAGUAAGAAAAGCUGCAGGGCCGCCUGACGCGCUGACCAUACAUUCAUUCUCUGCAUGGUUUAUUCCAUAGACGGAGUCUGGAACAAAUCACGACAUUUAAUGCACAAUUAUGGUUUCCAAUAAAUUGUUCCCAGAUGGCUCA